GGAUAUACCGGAUAGGUAGAUGCUGCUGGAAUGCUUCUUCACCAAAUGCCUUCGGCUGCCCAAGGAUGGGUCUGCGGCCUAUUAGGUUGUUGGGGGGGUAACGGCCCUCCUAGCCUAUCAUCGGUACGGGUUGUGAGAGCAAGAGCCCGGAGAUGGAUUCUGAGACAUGGUUCCAGGCCCUACGGGGCGCAGCAGGCGCGAAACCUCUACAAUGCACGCAACUGCGACGGGGGAACCCCAAGUGCCACUCUUAACGGGGUGGCUUUUCAAAAUUGUAAAAAGCUUCUGGAAUAAGGGCUGGGCAAGACCGGUGCCAGCAGCCGCGGUAAUACAAUA
rnacentral:rRNA from 1 species